CUGAUGCAGUUAGGAGGGAAAACGCCUAAUUAGAGUGCAUUUCCAUUUUCUGGAGGGAAGGUGUCACUGUCACAGGCCUGCCCAUGCCCUGAGCGCCCUUGUGCACAGGAGGCUUGGAACGCUGCCGGACGAGGUAGAAGGCCCUGCCGAGGUUUAUCACGCCAUGGGAAUAUAUGGCACAUGGACGAAAGCCGAUUACAGUGAAAGCAAUUCUGCCUGCAAGGGACCUGCUGAAACAAGUCCAGCCUCCCCCUUGUGAGCGACUGGAGCAAUCUGGCUAAGGGAAGAGGAGGAGGACGUGAGCUAGCGAAACGCGGAGGGCUAGAGCUGAUGAUGAAACAGAGGCACGGCCCUGCGUGAGAAGGCUCGUUUUCCCUCACGGGCAGAACAAGAGACACACACACAGACACAGCCGCACACGCACACCGCCACCAACCCGGUGACACCCGCCCCGGCGACACCCGCCCCGGCCCCCUCCGGCCGCCUUUUCCCUCCCCAUCCACCCUGCGGCCGCCCCCGGCGCGGCGGGAGCGGGUUCGCCCCGCGGGCAGGGAGCCCGGGGGUUGGGAUGGGGACGGGGGGAGAACCAAGGGAGAAAAAGAGCAACUGGGGGGAAAGGUGCUGCGCUGGAAUGUAAAUGCACCCACGCUAUGGCAAUAUGCUUGACAGUACAGCGCGGUUAAUGAAGCCUUUAAUUUGGAGGGGGGGGGGGGGAGGAGGAGGAGAAUAGAAAGAGGAAGGUCCUACGGAAAUAUCUUCCGGGAUUAAAACGGGAGAGAAGAGAGCUCCUCUUUAUAUUUACACGUACCUAGACGUGUCUCUGUAGCAAAGCAGUCCACAAGGACCACAGAACUGCAGCACAGACACACACACACACCGAAAAAAACCAACCCAACCCCAAGCUCACCGAACUGAAAAUGGAUCUUUUAAAAAGUAAAUAUGUGACAAAAAAACUUUGUGAUUUUCUUUUCUCAUGCCCCUUACUUCUAAACCAGCUGCACAGCCAAGCUCAGGCUGCUUGGCCCUUCUAACUAUCUUGGCACCGAGUCAAAAGCUGAUAAGCAUUUGGGCGAGACAGCUCAACUGCUGUGCUGGAAGAAAAACAGCUGCCAUGAUUGCUGUUUGAUUGAGAGCGCUUACACACACUCACAAAAAAACAUAUCGGACUGCAAAGACGGGCCACAAAUGCCUGAGGAUUCAGCUUCAGAGGAUCAACACACAUUUCCUUAAAAAAAAAAAAAAAGAAAGUUUUAUAUGGUUUUUCCUCCAUCCCUCCCUCCCCUUUUUUAAAGAAAACGUACUGCGUCGACUUGCUUUUCUUCUUCCCAUCCCCCCUCCAUAACCUCAAGCAAACUCAAGGAAUUGUGCCAAAAGUCCCGUUGCUAGUUACCAAGUGCAUUUUUUUAAACGUCCCUUUGAUACUUCUUUCCCUCGUGCUUGCCAUGGAAUAUACAAGGGCAAAAGGAGGGAAACGAGGGGGAGAAGGAUAUUUUUUCUCUUUGCCGAGUCCAACAUUUGGCUUUUUCCAUUUGUGGCAGAUCACUGUAACGCUAUUGUAAAACAACUUCCUGCCCCUUUUGGCUCACGUUCCAGAAGCUGCUAGGCUAAGUUCACAGCACAAACUUUUCUCCCCCUUGCCGAAGAAGAGAGACGAAAAAAAUAAUAAUAAUAAAAAAAUCCUGCAAAUUAUUUUUCCCCCUUUUCUGGCUAAUGGACUCACAAGGUGAAUUUAUUGCAGCUCUUUAAGAAUGUUACACAAGAGACGUCGGUAUCCCAGCUGGAUAAUUCAUAAGCUGAAAAGUUGCAGGUACAAAUUACGGCUGUGAAAAAAGAACACCGCCUUCAGUUCAAUACUUCACAGAAUUUGUGUUCCAUGAAGUGUCUUCCUGCGAAUCAUUUGGGUUUUUUCUUCCCGUCUGUCACGUUAUACUUACUAAAGUUGUCACACGUGCAUUAUUAGAUUUCUUACAUUUUGAAGGGAUGCCUAAAUUUACAUAUUCAGCUUUAACAGUAUUCUGCUACUUUUCAGUUUCAGUAAACAAAAUGUCACACACACAUGUGAUUCUGCAUUUCCUUUGUCCAGAAAGACGUAUUCCCACAGACAGAGAUGGACAUUCGAGCAUUCCACGAUCUAUACGCACGCGUUUUCGCAUUUGACAGGAAUGGCAGAGGGGGACUGGACUAGAUGAUCUUUCGAGGUCCCUUCCAAUCCCUAACAUUCUGUGAUUGUGUGUAACACACAGAAAGGAUGUUAGAAAAUGUGAAGGGGAAGCUGCCCCGCUCCUGGACACAGGCCGUGAGGCAGGCACGGCAUUCGGCAGCGUGCCUUUCAAAUCCAAGUUCAAACUCACCCCACCAGCAGCAGCUGCACUGGUGGAGCGACGGCCCUGGGACUCCAAAGCAGAAGCAGCAGCAGCAGCAAGGCCUCGGAGCAUCCCCCUCUGAAAGAAACCAUUCCCGUUCAUAUAGAGAGAAAAGACCUUCACAUUAUAUUACCUUUGCAUUGCAUUGCAUGUAUCAUGGCUUUUAAAAAGAGAGGGUCGUUUCGGUGUUGGCAGCAAACCAGAAGUUUCUUGCAAAAGAUCUCUCUCUUUUUUUUUUUAAACAAUUUUGCUUUUCAAAAGAUGAAUCUGCAUCCAUGCAGGUUAAAUGUAUGCCAUAAUUUAAUAAAGGUUAUUUUAAUGACGUUUAUUGCAACCUGACAAAACCAAUACACACACUCUAAUAAGGAAAACAUGUAGAUUUUUUACUAUGCUAUCUACACUAAUAAAGUACAGUGUGAAUGAUAACACUGGCAUCACAAAAAAAAGAGGGGGGGGGAGAGAGAAUUGUGAAAACUGCUUCCAGCCUUCUUCAGUGACCUAUGUUUUUCAGUUGUUUAAAAACACUUCCUUUUCAGAAUAGUGAAAAUUCCCAGGGGAUAUCAGUGACUAAUCCACAGAAAUGUCAAGAUUCGAAUUUAACCGUUUUUUUUCCUAGGGCAUAAGUGCGUUUUACUACAGAUUUGAGAUGGGUACUAAAAGCACUGAAAAUGGAUAAGUUCAACUCCUAAUUUUGUAGUCCCAGAAAAUGUCAUCAACGGAAAUAUAAACCAAUUAAUUUUUCUUGGUCCACCAAAAAAUUCAAGAAAACUGCAGUGUUUUUUUUUCUAGUGCUAAGAAGUAAUUUAAUAAGAAAAUCGAGCAUGGAAAAAAAGGCGGACAUUUUGCCUCUUGGCAAUGGGACAGUGAGACUUGAUUCAAGAUCGAGACCUCUCCCUGACUCAAUUAGAAAUAUAGCUGAUUUUCAAAACUUUUGAAGCCAAAUACCAAAAUUCAAAGUUGUCAUCUGAAGCCCAUAUGACUUCUGACAUUUAUUUGUAAGAGAACUAAACAAUUCCCUCUUCCCCCAACAACUGUUUUAACAGAAUCACAUACUUCAUCUCUUCUCCAUGUAUAUCCCCACACACAUACUUCUGUGUGUUAUGGUGGACCUAUACAUGAGAUAGCUAUGUAUGCAUUUAUGGUCUCAUGUUACAACAGCCCAGUAAGUAUGAAUACUAUUAGAGUAAGACUGUAAAUUAAUAUUCAGUUUACAUAAUAUGGCUCAAUGGAAGUCAGAAUAUUUUUAUAAUGCUGCCUAAAGGUUAACAACAAAGGGUUACAUUUGAAUUAUAACAGGAAAGUCAUGGACGACAUGGUUCAGGACUGAUUUUUUUCUCGUUAUACAAAUAAACACAGCAUUUAGAUGUUAAUAUAUCUAAAAUGCAGAGUAAGAACUUUACAAAAGAAGCUGAUCACAACAGCACUAUCGCAGCAUUUAUCCCUUAACAUUAUCAUAGCGCCUCAUCCCUACAGUCGGAAAACAAAUGCAACUAACUAACUGCUCUGUGACCACCUGAAUGUGAGACCUCCAUUCCUCUACUAGACCUGAAACGAUCUGAGAGACUGACAAUAAAGAUCAGGGAUUUCGUCUAAUAAAGCACCGCACCCGCACACCAAAAUACUGUUCCAGCUCUCAGCUGGCAGUGCUCCGAGUUUUCAGCACAGAGGGGAAAGCAAAAUAGAUACUUACGAUUCGUUGUGGGGACUUGCAAGACACAACUUUGCUUUAAUGCUCUACUUACAUGCUUGUAUAACAAAUGGGUACCUCAGACAUGCAGGAGAAGAUUUUUAUAGGAAUAUCAGAUUUACUGUAUUAUUGUUCAGUUUUUACUGGCCAGCUAAUGGCCAAAACCUCUAUCGGUCUAAGAAAUGUAUUGGAAAUCUGUUGGAAAAAGGACAUUUUGUGCUGGAACUACUACACUAUUCAAGUCUUUGCCUUUCCCUGACAGAGAACGCCAUUUUGAGGCUGUCACGCAUUUUUCUUUCCAAAGCGGAUAACGCCAGUGGAAAACAUAGGGAUGGUAUCCUCAUACCGCAGAAAAAUAUAGCAAAGCAGUUUCACAGAGCAGUAGCAUUUUUAUUUUUACAGGUGCAACCGAAGCCUGUCUUGCAUUUUCUGCUCACCCUAAUAUUAAUUUUAAAACCACACGCACAUAAAUGGAUGAUAUGCAGCUAUCUGUAUCCAUGUAGCGUUUUUAAACUUUCACAUACAAUUCAAGUAUUCAAUGGGAAGAGGCAGACAAAGAGAUUUUACCAGAAGACAAAUGGGGAAAACAAGCAUUUUGUUCAAAUCAAUUUUGCUCAGUUACACUGGGCCUAAAUAUAUCUUUGCCAGUCCGGUGUUUAGAAAAAUGUGUAUCUUCAAAAAAUAAAGAAUAGACUCAGUAAUUUCCACAGUGCAUCUGAAGCCUGACCCAACCCAUGUUCUGUGAGACUAUUUUUUAAUUUUUCAUUUUUUCUCUCCUUAGAUAAACUGACAUAUUGCAAAUCAUUGUCCAAAGGAUCAAGGAAAUCAACAGGGUAACAGAAACGGCUCAAUGCUGAAAGUGGAAUAGACAGGUGUACAACAGUUGCUUAACAGAGGAGGCUGUUAAAUAUGAAUGGUUCUUAUUUAGUUUUCACUGCAGGGGUCACAUUUGGAAAAAAAUGUUGAUAAAGCAAAUUUAGAAAAACAAUACAAGCUUUCCUAUUUCUAAUUUCAGUAACAUCUUUGUCUAGGAAAUGAGAAGAGUCUUAACCACCAUUAAGCUUUACCAGGUACAAUAGCUGAAGAAAUCGCUGCUAGGAAUAGUAAUGCUGAGGAAUCAAGUUCAUGCAGUAAAAUAGACCAUUCUCUGCCCAAUCUAUUAAUCCAAACUUUGCUAGGGAUAAAGCUCUUUUAAAAAGUGAAACAAAAGAAGAAAAAAAAAGUCCUGAGAGUUUUGAGUAAGGAACGUCCAAAGCAAAAAAUCUCCAAAAGGCCCCACUUAAUAAGAAGCUUUCAGAAGAGGCACUUCUACUGCCACACCUUAACCUUAGGUUAUCAUCUUGAAAUAUUUGACAUGCACUCAUAAAAAUUAGUUUUCCUUUCAAGCAGACACUAUAUUUAUUGUAAGAUUACAAUAUCUUUUUGAACAAAAAUAAUAUUUUGAAAUGUUAAUAUUGGCUGAAUAUUUUCUUCACUUUUAUUUUUUCCUUUUUUUCUCUAAGCAGCUGUCCACAUUUUAAAAUUCUCUUACAGCUCAUCACCCCCAAACAAAGCACAACUGUAUCAAUGCUUUAAGGGACAAAAAAUGACACAACUGACAUUGCCUUCACACUCUCUUUAGUCUUUAAAAUCCUGCAGAUUAACAGAAAUGCAAUGCUACUACUUUCACAUGGUGAAAGGGGAUAGACCUUGUAUUUUCAUUAGUAAACACACUAAUUAUAACUAAUUAACACAACUGAGGAAUAUACAUAUGCUAACCUGACAAUAUUAUUUUUAUUGGAUAACAAGGAUAGUAAGUAUAAAUUUCCCCUCUGGCUCACAUUAAAAUCUAAAGCUGGUGGACUUUGGGAAUCUCAAGUAACAAAUAAAGGACACAGAAGAGUUGUUAUCAAUAUUGCUGUAAUCGCGUGGCUUGCUGCUCAUGUACCAACUCUCUGCUGUUCAUGUUUGGCUCAGCUUUGGAUGCAAGUUUUUAUUAAAGGGAAAGAUCUUUGAGUUGUUUGGCCCUUUCUUUUGUUCAAAUAGUUUGUUUUGCUGUAUUACAGAAUGCCCUUUUAAAUCUAAGAGUAGGCGACUGGAAGUGUUUGUUUAAACAAUACAACUUUGAGAAAAAUAAGGGAAAAGCAUAACAUUUUACCUUAAAUGACUGGAAUGCAAAAAAAAAAAAAAAAAAAACAAA